UACAGAGGGGGCAAGCGUUGUUCGGAAUUACUGGGCGUAAAGGGCGCGUAGGCGGCCUUCUAAGUCGAACGUGAAAUCCCCGGGCUCAACCCGGGAACUGCGUCCGAUACUGGAAGGCUUGAAUUCGGGAGAGGGAUGCAGAAUUCCAGGUGUAGCGGUGAAAUGCGUAGAUAUCUGGAGGAAUACCGGUGGCGAAGGCGGCAUCCUGGACCGAUAUUGACACUGAUGAGCGAAAGCCAGGGGAGCAAACGGG
rnacentral:rRNA from 1 species